UGGGGAAUUUUGGACAAUGGGCGAAAGCCUGAUCCAGCAAUGCCGCGUGUGUGAAGAAGGCCUUCGGGUUGUAAAGCACUUUUGUCCGGAAAGAAAUCCUCUGGGUUAAUACCUCGGGGGGAUGACGGUACCGGAAGAAUAAGCACCGGCUAACUACGUGCCAGCAGCCGCGGUAAUACGUAGGGUGCAAGCGUUAAUCGGAAUUACUGGGCGUAAAGCGUGCGCAGGCGGUUUUGUAAGACGGAUGUGAAAUCCCCGGGGCUUAACCUGGGAACUGCAUUCGUGACUGCAAGGCUAGAGUAUGGCAGAGGGGGGUAGAAUUCCACGUGUAGCAGUGAAAUGCGUAGAGAUGUGGAGGAAUACCGAUGGCGAAGGCAGCCCCCUGGGCCAAUACUGACGCUCAUGCACGAAAGCGUGGGGAGCAAACAGGAUUAGAUACCCUGGUAGUCCACGCCCUAAACGAUGUCAACUAGUUGUUGGGGAUUCAUUUCCUUAGUAACGUAGCUAACGCGUGAAGUUGACCGCCUGGGGGAGUACGGUCGCAAGAUUAAAACUCAAAGGAAUUGACGGGGUCAUAGCUGUUUCCU
rnacentral:rRNA from 1 species